GCCCGCUAUGCCUUUGUUAGAGAUAUCAGCUAUCCACCACAUGUACAAACCCUAGCUCUAGAAACCCUAAAACGAUUAACCAUGUCGCACUUCGGAAGAGCAGGUCCGCCGGAUAUCAGAGAUACCUAUUCACUCCUCGUCCUCAACAUCACGUUUCGUACAACUGCCGAUGAUUUGUUCCCUCUUUUUGAUAAGUAUGGAAAGGUUGUUGAUGUUUUCAUCCCUAGAGAUCGCAGGACUGGGGAUUCUCGAGGCUUUGCCUUUGUUCGAUAUAAGUAUGCAGAUGAAGCCCAGAAGGCAGUGGACAAGCUUGAUGGAAGAGUUGUUGAUGGCAGAGAGAUAAUGGUUCAAUUCGCCAAGUAUGGGCCUGAUGCUGAACGAAUUCAUAAGGGAAGAAUACUUGAACCAGCUGAGAAGCUGAAGGGAAGAUCAAGGAGCCGAAGUCCAAGACCAAGUUCAAGGCAUAGAGAUGACUAUAAGGACAGAAGAAGAAACCGAAGCAGAAGCAGAGACAGAUCUGAACACGAGAGGCAUCGAGGAAGGGAUCGAUACAGAAGCAGAAGUCGAAGCAGAAGCAGAAGCAGAAGCCCUGAAUAUCGAAAAGAGCGCAGCAGAAGAGGAAGAUAUGAAGAUGAAAAGGGUAGAAGCAGAAGUCGAUCUCCUAUCAGAAGCAGAUCUCCUAUCAGAAGCACUUCCCCUGCCCGAUCGCCUGCCCGAAAUAGUGUGAGCCCUCGAAGGAGUAGGAGUGCAUCUCCAAGAAGAACACCUUCAAGGAGCAGAAGUCCAGCAAGGCGUGUUGAGAAAGAUCGGUCGCCUACUCCAAAAAGUGUUUCCCCUCGUGGGAAACCUGACUCUAGAAGCCCAUCACCACAUCGUUCUGAUGCUGAUGAAUGAGAAUUGGAGAUGCAUGUAUGGACAUGAAAUCGAGAGCAGUGUUCUGUUUUGUGAAAACUCAUUUCCUGAUGCUUAAUUUGAAGAUAGAGUAUGUGUUGCUGUUGAUGUUGAUGUUGGUGAGAACUGGUGCAGCAGUGUUUGGUUUGCAGUUGGGAAAGGGGAUGAUGGUUGAAGUUGAUAUUGCUGCUAUGCUGUUGACACGUCAUGCCUGCUGAACAAAAAUCCUAAAAAUUUUAAGUAGUUGAGGUCGAUGAUUAAGCUGUCAAGUGAUAGGCACGUGUUGGUGCUGUGUUUAUAGAUGCUGGUGAAUUAAGGUUAAUAAUCAAAUCUCAUAAAUCUUGCACCUCAAAUUUACCACUUUUAUGUGUGUGUGUGUGUUUUAUGUGCUUAACAUGUGUUGAAAAUGCUACAACUUUCUUUUAGCUUUUAUUGGAGUAACAGAAUGAGGUGUUGAUAUUCUGGAAAUAAAAAUCAGUAUUAUGUCUUUCAAAAGUAUAAUUAAAGUAUAUUGAAGCUAUUCAGACGGUUGGUGAUAAACUAAGGAUAGUGGCAACGUUUAUUUUUUUAGGCUAAACCUCAUUUCCAGACAUUUGAUAUAUAGCUUUUUAGUUCAAAAAACUUCAUAGAUGGUCCCUAGGUGUAAAUAAUGACAAUUGUGUAAUGUUUUUCUAUUAUAUUGAAGCCAGUACUAUGAAUACAAAGACUGCAAUUUAUACAA